ACUUCAUAGGAAUGACACCCUCUUUUCUAGUCUUCCUAAGGUACUUUUCUUUAGCUCGUGGACUUUCGCUUGCAAGAAAAUAGAGUACGAGUGAAGCAGCUAUCAAACGUAAUGGAGGAAGGAAGAAACCAACCCCAAUCUAAUAAGGAGUCAUAGCUCGUUGCUCAUGUUCCGUAGGUACCAAAGCAAGGGAUCAGUAGUCCAGUGGUGUGGUAUUGAAUCUCUAUCUCAGUCCUGUCUAUUAGUAGUUAAGAGUCAAACCUGAUUGCGAUUGGUGCUGUAGGCAAGGAAGGUUACUAGGACAAUAGGGAUAAGAAUCGAAGCAAGGAAUCGACGCAAGGGAAAGAAGUCGUUAGGACUCAUCGCCACUAUUCAUGUUAUUCUUCCGUAGCUACCCUUCAAGACUCAACUAAUAUACUCACUCCCACGCAUGCCGCUCAGCUGGACCAAAGAGAGAAGUGAGGGGGGAGUGUCCUAACGGACCCGUGGGGGGUGGGCAGGAGAAUUGUUUCAUAAAUCCUGACACUCCAGCUAAAGCACGACCAAUGGCUUGAAUGUAUGGGGUCAGCCUCCCGGAGUCAGAAAAGAUUUGCUACUAUUCCUACACCAAGCAAGGGAUCAGUCACGUCCUUUGUAAGACCAGACAAGCGUUAGGAUUAAAGCAAGUCCCUAGUUUCAGUCUUCAUUGUAAGGUAUUCACCCAACUCCCUCCUAUCGAGCUGCCUUGACCAAUAGCAGGGUUCUCUGCCUUUAUGUUGUGGAAGCGAGGGAUCAGUUCCCAAGGGAAGGGAAUCCACUCCUCAUCCUCUUAUCUUUCAUUUCCUCCUUCCUCACCGGCAUCUGCUCUCACCAAGACCAGCACUGACUUUGGGGAUUGAUGCUGAUCUCAGUCUCUUUCCCAAGGAGGGGCCUUAGAUGGAUGAUCAAUUUCCUUUUUGAAGAGUGCAACUGAACUUGACUCUGCCUGGGACUAGACUUUCUCCAGAAGUCUUGGAGGACUGAGCUUUAGAUUGAACAAGAUGCUCUUGUUCCUCCAAAGCCAACUGAGCAGCAGCAGAAUGAGUAGAAAGGUCAUAAUGUACAAGGGGAAAUGGAACAGAAGGAGAGACAGACUCUGUGACAGAAGUAGUACGCUCUGACACAAAGAAAACAGGGGCAGAUUGUUCUUCCGUACUUUUUGAGGGAGAAAGGACUCAACUAUGGAUACACUUGGGAUUCGAAAACACAAGGUCAUAAUGUACAAGGAGAACAUAAAGUCUUACAUCCGGCUCAGGAGGAGUCGGGGAUGGAAGGCUAGAUUAUAAAGUGGCAGUCUCAAUUGGAGAAAACGAUGAGGAGAUGGGAACAGAAGUAGAUUUUCAGUGACCUGUAUCACUUUGCAUAGUCAAUAGCAAAAAAGAAGAAUUGAACGAAUACGCAAGGCCUCACAUCUACAGCAACAGCAAGACCCCACCAAAAGCAUAACUUCCUUUGGUUGUGAGGAAGAGGUAAUUAUGACCUGCAUAACUUUCACUAGAUUUUAGCAACAGAUCGUAAGAUAGAAGGAUAAGGUCACACUUGAGGGAGAAAGAACCUCCAUGGGUCUUGAGAAAGAACCUCCAUGGGUCUAGAGGAAGAAGCACCCUGCAGCACAAGACGCAUCAGCUAAGGCCAUUUCUCGAAGAGACGAGCAAGAAACGAGAGCAUAAAAGUUUUUCCGCCCUCUUUCAAUGAUGAAGGGGCCU
rnacentral:lncRNA from 1 species